rnacentral:rRNA from 1 species
GUGCCAGCAGCCGCGGUAAUACGUAGGGGGCAAGCGUUGUCCGGAUUUACUGGGCGUAAAGCGCGUGUAGGCGGUGAUUUAAGUCCGGGGUGAAAGGCGGGGGCUCAACCCCCGAGCGGCGCCGGAAACUGGGUCACUUGAGUGUCGGAGAGGGGAGUGGAAUUCCUGGUGUAGCGGUGAAAUGCGUAGAGAUCAGGAGGAACACCCGUGGCGAAGGCGGCUCCCUGGCCGAACACUGACGCUGAGACGCGAAAGCGUGGGGAGCGAACGGGAUUAGAUACCCCCGUAGUCC